UGGAGGUAGAAAAGUAUUUAAGUGUCGCAAAUAUUCUGUGAUCUCGUUAGUCUAUGCUUAGCCUGCCAAACAAAAUGGGAGCCAUGAAGAUUGUACUGUGUUUUGCUCUCGUGUUUGUUGUGUUUUCCGCCAUUGCUGAAGCUCAGCUUUACACCACUGGUCUGUAUGGAGGAUACAACACUGGAAUGGGCUUAGGCGGCGGGUCAGGCAAUUUAGUGGGAUCCGUGCUACCUAUUCUUCUCAUCUUCCUCCUGCUUGCAAUGUUUGCUCCAGUCUUGAUUGGAAGUCUUGCCUCCUCGAAUGAUAUGGUGUUUAGUGAUAGCGAUUAAAUGAAUUGAUGAACUGGAAAAGGAAAAAGAAAUAGGACUAGCCCGCAUUUCACAGUGUACAAAUUCUCAGAAUAAACUGCAUUAUACAGUUCUGAAAUUUUAUUCCAUAUGCAAAAGAUAUUUUAGACAUGUCUGACGUGAUUAUUAAGCUCAAGUCUUUUACAUAUUGGAAUUUGUAAUAUUAAAUCAGUUUUAUACU